rnacentral:rRNA from 1 species
CGUGUAGGUAGUUUGACGGGUCUGGCAUUAAAUCCCCCGGCCCAACCGGGGAAAAGUGUCAGAAACUAUCAAACUUGAGUCUGAAAGAGGAGAGCGGAACUCCUGGUGUAACGGUGAAAUGUGUGGAUAUCAGGAGGAACACCGGUGGCGAAGGCGGCUCUCUAGUUCAAGACUGACACUGAGGCGCGAAAGCCAGGGGAGCAAACAGGAUUAAAUACCCUGGUAGUCCUGGCCUUAAACGAUGGGUGUUAGGUAUCGGCCCUACGGGGUCGGUGUCGUAGCUAACGCGUUAAACACCCCACCUGGGGAGUACGGUCGCAAGGCUGAA